AACGAACGCUGGCGGCAUGCCUAACACAUGCAAGUCGAACGAGACCUUCGGGUCUAGUGGCGCACGGGUGCGUAACGCGUGGGAACCUGCCCUUAGGUUCGGAAUAACUCCCCGAAAGGGGUGCUAAUACCGGAUAAUGUCUUCGGACCAAAGAUUUAUCGCCUUUGGAUGGGCCCGCGUUGGAUUAGCUAGUUGGUAGGGUAAAAGCCUACCAAGGCGAGGAUCCAUAGCUGGUCUGAGAGGAUGAUCAGCCACACUGGGACUGAGACACGGCCCAGACUCCUACGGGAGGCAGCAGUGGGGAAUAUUGGACAAUGGGCGAAAGCCUGAUCCAGCAAUGCCGCGUGAGUGAUGAAGGCCUUAGGGUUGUAAAGCUCUUUUAACCGGGAUGAUAAUGACAGUACCGGGAGAAUAAGCUCCGGCUAACUCCGUG
rnacentral:rRNA from 1 species